CCUACGGGAGGCAGCAGUGGGGAAUAUUGCGCAAUGGGGGAAACCCUGACGCAGCAACGCCGCGUGAGUGAAGAAGGUCUUCGGAUCGUAAAACUCUGUCAUCGGGGACGAAGAAGUGACGGUACCCGAGGAGGAAGCCCCGGCUAACUACGUGCCAGCAGCCGCGGUAAUACGUAGGGGGCGAGCGUUGUCCGGAAUUACUGGGCGUAAAGGGUGCGUAGGCGGCCAUAUAAGUCAGGUGUGAAAAACCACGGCUUAACCGAGGUAUUGCACAUGAAACUGUAUGGCUUGAGUACAGGAGAGGAAAGUGGAAUUCCUAGUGUAGCGGUGAAAUGCGUAGAGAUUAGGAAGAACACCAGUGGCGAAGGCGGCUUUCUGGACUGUAACUGACGCUGAGGCACGAAAGCGUGGGGAGCAAACAGGAUUAGAUACCCUGGUAGUCCACGCUGUAAACGAUGGAUACUAGGUGUAGGGGUUUAAAGACUUCUGUGCCGGAGUUAACGCAAUAAGUAUCCCGCCUGGGGAGUACGGCCGCAAGGCUGAAACUCAAAUGAAUUGACGG
rnacentral:rRNA from 1 species